rnacentral:rRNA from 1 species
GACGAACGCUGGCGGCGUGCCUAAUACAUGCAAGUAGAACGCUGAAGAGAGGAGCUUGCUCUUCUUGGAUGAGUUGCGAACGGGUGAGUAACGCGUAGGUAACCUGCCUUGUAGCGGGGGAUAACUAUUGGAAACGAUAGCUAAUACCGCAUAACAAUGGAUGACACAUGUCAUUUAUUUGAAAGGGGCAAUUGCUCCACUACAAGAUGGACCUGCGUUGUAUUAGCUAGUAGGUGAGGUAAUGGCUCACCUAGGCGACGAUACAUAGCCGACCUGAGAGGGUGAUCGGCCACACUGGGACUGAGACACGGCCCAGACUCCUACGGGAGGCAGCAGUAGGGAAUCUUCGGCAAUGGGGGCAACCCUGACCGAGCAACGCCGCGUGAGUGAAGAAGGUUUUCGGAUCGUAAAGCUCUGUUGUAAGUCAAGAACGGGUGUGAGAGUGGAAAGUUCACACUGUGACGGGAGCUUACCAGAAAGGGACGGCUAACUACGU